GAGAUCAAAAUGGAGGAUUUCAAUGAAGAUCUGGGAGAGGAAACUUCCAGAAAAAGGAUAGAUGGAGAGGAUCAAGGUCCUGGGGCAGGAACCAACCAGUGUGUUUUAUGACUGGAGGAGGAGGAGCAUCAUACUGGGGAGGCAGAGACAGAUGAAAGCGGGAAGCAGAGGACGAAUUCCAGACGCUGGCAAGGACAGAGCAUCGAGGGACCAGGCGCCCUCCCGGGUGAGCCCCGGAACCGGCAUCCGUUUGGAAUCUGGGAGGGAGGCUCCGCGCGAGGGCUGGCCGGGACGGCGCGUCCUGGCGCCCGGCGUCUGCUCGCAGAGCCAGCCCUGGCAGCACGCCUGCCGGGCGUUUCCUGGCAACCAGCCACCGCCUGAACGUUCCGAACUCUACAGCCCGCGACGUCACCGUCACCUUGACGACGGCCGUGGGAACACGCCCCGUCGGCACCGGGGGCGGGGUCUGAGCGCUGCGCGCUCUGCGCGUGUGGAGAGGGGCGGGGCCUGGGCAGGUGCGAAGGCAGGUGCGGCUGCAGGUGUGAGCGGGGCGGGGCGGGGCGGGG
rnacentral:lncRNA from 1 species